GUAGUCCACGCCCUAAACGAUGUCAACUAGCUGUUGGGGCCUUCGGGCCUUGGUAGCGCAGCUAACGCGUGAAGUUGACCGCCUGGGGAGUACGGUCGCAAGAUUAAAACUCAAAGGAAUUGACGGGGACCCGCACAAGCGGUGGAUGAUGUGGAUUAAUUCGAUGCAACGCGAAAAACCUUACCUACCCUUGACAUGUCUGGAAUUCCGAAGAGAUUUGGAAGUGCUCGCAAGAGAACCGGAACACAGGUGCUGCAUGGCUGUCGUCAGCUCGUGUCGUGAGAUGUUGGGUUAAGUCCCGCAACGAGCGCAACCCUUGUCAUUAGUUGCUACGAAAGGGCACUCUAAUGAGACUGCCGGUGACAAACCGGAGGAAGGUGGGGAUGACGUCAAGUCCUCAUGGCCCUUAUGGGUAGGGCUUCACACGUCAUACAAUGGUCGGGACAGAGGGUCGCCAACCCGCGAGGGGGAGCCAAUCCCAAAAACCCGAUCGUAGUCCGGAUCGCAGUCUGCAACUCGACUGCGUGAAGUCGGAAUCGCUAGUAAUCGCGGAUCAGCAUGUCGCGGUGAAUA
rnacentral:rRNA from 1 species